rnacentral:rRNA from 1 species
CUACGGGGCGCUCCAGUGAGGAAUAUUGCACAAUGGGGGGAACCCUGAUGCAGCAACGCCGCGUGGAGGAUGACGCAUUUCGGUGUGUAAACUCCUUUUAUAUGUCAAGAAAAUGACGGUAGCAUAUGAAUAAGCGCCGGCUAACUCCGUGCCAGCAGCCGCGGUAAUACGGAGGGCGCAAGCGUUACUCGGAAUCACUGGGCGUAAAGGACGCGUAGGCGGGUUGAAAAGUCAGGUGUGAAAGCCUACAGCUUAACUGUAGAACUGCACUUGAAACUCUCAAUCUAGAGUAUGGGAGGGGCAGAUGGAAUUAGUGGUGUAGGGGUAAAAUCCGUAGAUAUCACUAGGAAUACCUAAAGCGAAGGCGAUCUGCUGGAACAUUACUGGCGCUAAGGCGUGAAAGCGUGGGGAGCAAACAGGAUUAGAUACCCUUGUAGUC